CAUGUCUAUUUGAAGAUGUAAAUAGUCAAGCCUGCUCACUGAAUUUACGUUUAAAGAGCCGCGGUAUCCUGACCGUGCGAAGGUAGCAUAAUCAUUAGUUUUUUAAUUGAAAGCUGGAAUGAAAGGUUAGACAAAAAGGAGUCUGUCUAAAACUUAAUGUUAAAAAUUAAUCUUUAAGUGAAAAAGCUUAAAUAUCUAAGGGAGACGAUAAGACCCUAUAAAGCUUUAUAUAAAGAAUAAGCUAAUUGAAUUGUAAAAUAAGAAUUUACUUUGACUAUUAUAUUAUAUUGGGGCGAUAUGAGUAUAAUUUUUUUAACUGCUAAGAAAGAUUACACUGAUAAGUGAAAUAUAUUCGAAGAUCCUUUUUAAAGAUUUAAAGAACAAGUUACUUUAGGGAUAACAGCGUCAUUCUUUUUAAGAGUUCAUAUCGAAAAAAGAGUUUGCGACCUCGAUGUUGAAUUAAAAUAUCUAUAUAAUGCAGCAGUUGUAUGAGAAGGUCUGUUCGACCUUUAAAUUUUUACAUGAUUUGAGUUCAGACCGGCGUGAGCCAGGUCAGUUUCUAUCUUCUAAUGAAAGAAACCAACUUUA
rnacentral:rRNA from 1 species